CGAGCACGCGCGUGUGGCAUAUCAAUAAGCGGAGGAAAAGAAACUAACAAGGAUUCCCUUAGUAACGGCGAGUGAAGCGGGAAGAGCUCAAAGUUGAAAUCUUCAAGGUUCUACCUUGACGAAUUGUAGUUUAUAGAAGUGUUUUCUGUUAGUGGAGUGGCAAAAUUCUUUGGAAUAGGACAUCAUAGAGGGUGAGAAUCCCGUAUUUUGUCAUUCCUCCUAGCGUUGUGAUACACUUUCAACGAGUCGGAUUGUUUGGGAAUGCAGUCCAAAAUGGGUGGUAAAUUUCAUCUAAAGCUAAAUAUUGGCGAGAGACCGAUAGCGAACAAGUACCGUGAGGGAAAGAUGAAAAGAACUUUGAAAAGAGAGUUAAACAGUACGUGAAAUUGUCAAAAGGGAAGCGUUUGACACCAGUGUUGUUUUUCCGAAAAUCAAUUACGAAUGUUUUGUUUUUAAGAAGUUAUGACUUCAUCGGCUUGCUCCUUUCUUUACGAAACUUUCUUAAUGCACUUUUCGGUUAACAAGUCAACAUCAAUUUCUUUUGUUGUAAAAGGGUAUGAGGAAGGUGGCUUUCUCUUCGGAGAAAGUGUUUAUAGCCUUGUGCCUCUAGCAAUCGGAGAGAUUGAGGUCUGCAGCGUAGAUCCUUCGGGGUUAGAUACAUUUGUGCUAAGUUAUAGCUUUUCAUAGACAACUUGUUGACUAUGUUUAGUCUUGUAGCUUACUCGCUUAUGCUAUUUUACCUACGCUUAGGAUGUUGAACUCUAUCACACACAG
rnacentral:rRNA from 1 species